GUUUGUUUUGUGAAAACGUAAGUAUUAUACGUUAAAUGCAUCUCUUGUUUUCAAAAUUAAUCACAUCAUUUUUAUUAUCAAAGGACAGAUAAUUCACCCAAGAUAAUAAACUCACAGCUAGCUGCCAUGUGCUGUAAAGUUUCUUUCUGAAAGAUUAAUACUGUGCUACACUGAUUGGGUUUUAUGUGUUAGGAUAUGUAAUUGGGAGUAUUUAUAAGCUUUCUCAGGUUUAAAAUAAAAGCUGUGUUUAUAAUGGUUUUAUUUACAGGUGAAUAACUUGUUAUUGUAUUUUAUUUUUUUGGUUUUGGUGCUGGAGACUGAACCUAGGGCCUCAUACAUGCACAUGCUCUACCUUUGAGUCACCCUUCAACUCCUAGGUAGGUAAUUUCUCCUUUUUCCAGUAUUUUGGAAUAGGGGAAGUUCAGUUGAUAAUUUUCUGUGGUAAAAAAAAAUAAGUUAAUGGUCAAAUUUUAUGCCAUCCCUUGCCUGACCUCCCCAUCACACCACUACUGGAGAUUGAAUCCAGAGGCCCUCUACCACUGAGCUACAUCUCCAGGCCACUUAAAUUUUAUUUUAAGAUAAAGGUCUCAUUAAGUUGCCAAAGCUGACCUGGAACUUGUGAUAUUUCUGCCCCAGUCUCCUAAGUAGCUGGGAUUAUAGGCAUGUAUUUGUUUUUUUUUCUUAAAUUAUUUUUUAGUUAUCGGUGGACACAAUGUCUUUACUUUAUGUGGUGCUGAGGAUAGAACCCAGUACCUCAUGCAUGCUAGGCGAGUGCUCUACCCCUGAGCCACAAGCCCAUCCCCUAGGCAUGUAUUUCUGCUCCCUGCUUUUAUGCCAUUUUUUUAAAAAAAACAUUCUCAAAAGUAGAAAUUUUUUCAGGUUUGUUUUGUUUUGUUUUUGUUUUGGUACUGGGGAUUGAACCCAGGAGCAUUUUACCACUAAGAUACAUCCCCAGAUCCCCUUCUCUUUUUUUAAAGUUGUAGGUGAACACAAUACAUUAUUUAUUUAUUUAAAUAGGUAGGGAGUGGGGAUUGAACUCAGGGGCACUUGACCAUUGAGCCACAUCCCCAGCCCUAUGUUCUAUUUUAUUUAGAGACAGGAUCUCACUGAGUUGCUUAGCACCUAACCAUUGCUGAGGCUGGCUUUGAACUCACCAUCUUCCUGUCUCAGUCUCCUGAGCCACUGGGAUUACAGGCACAAAACAUGGUGCAUGGCUUAUUUAUUUAUUGUUAUGUGGUGCUGAGGAUUGAACCCAGUGCCUCAUACAUGCUAGUCUUGUGCUCUACCACUGAGCUACAAUCCCAGCCCUUUUCAUUUUUAUUUUGAGACAAGUUCUCUCUUAAUGGCCUAGGCUGGCCUCAAACUUGCAAUCCUCCUGCCUCAGCUUCCUGAGUGGCUAUAAAUACAGAUGUGUCUCACUAUGUGAAGCUUUAUUUUUCUUUCUCCCAGUUCUUAUUAAAAAACAAGGAAGGAGGACAAGGAUUAAGAACAAGGAAAUUAUUCUGGUCUGAGACUAUGACUUAUGGAAUUUUCAGAUGACAAGUGAUUGCUCCUUUGUUGGACAUAUAUGACUUUCCAUGAUGCUUUUAAAUAAUGACAGUUAUUUUUUAGUAUAUAUUUUUUUGUUUUGUUUUCAAUAUUUUUUUUCCUUAUGAUUUAAAUUUUAGUACUUUGAAUGAUGAUGAGGUGUAAUUUUGAAUCAUGUUAUUUUAGCUUCUGAGCUUUUUAUUUGGGUUGGCAAGUAGGGGCAAUUUUGGGUGACCUGGGUUUCUAUUAACUGUGACAAUUUCAUGCCAGAUGUUGACUUCUGUGAUUCUGACCCUAUCAUGGACUCAUGACCUCAAUUUCUGAUUAAUUGUGUUCCUGACAGUUGGACACUGUUUGUCUGUCUUGAUUGCUUGGCUACAGCUGUUCAACAGGAAGGGCCCAAAGUUCCUCUCUGACACAUAGAAAAAAAGUAUCUUUAUUUUAACUUGACCAAAAUGAAUUCUCAGAUUGCCCACAUAGAAUUUUUUUUUAGUAUUGACUCUUUUUUUUUGUUUUGAACAAUAAUUUUCAAAGUUAAUGACUAAUUUAUAGGAAAUUUCCAUAUGUGAUUAGUGAAUUGUUUUCCAAAUUAUCACAGAAUAAAGUUUCUAGGUUCUAAAUGUAUGAAAAACACUUUAUAGUUUCUCUUUUCUCUUGAAACCUUCUAGUGCUUAUUAGUCCUAUGGUGAAAAAAAAUGUUAAAAUGUUCACUUUGUUAUUAUUAUGAAGACCAAGAUUUGUGCUGUAAUUGAUCAGCUUUGAAGCCAUUUUUUAUGCCCCAGAAACUUGAGAUUACAGUGUUAUAAUCAUGUUCUUUAGGGGAAACCUGUAACUUCUGCAAUAGUCAUAUUUCAGAUUUGUGGCUCACUAAACUUAUAUUCUUGUCAAGUGUUUUCCCCCUUUUGCUAGAGGGAGUAGCUUGAGUGAAUUAUAAGGAGCUGAAUUAAGUGAGAUAAAUGGAUUGCUUUCCCCCUCCCUCACUUUGAUUGGUGAGUAGUCCUAGUGUCACUUCUCCAAAUAAAAGCCAAGUCAUGAUCCCAUGGUUAGGGUCAGUGGCAGGUGGCAGAGACAUUAGGGGUCCAGCUCUGUUAUCUGAUAAUCUAUUGCUGAGUAAGCUUUGUGUUUAAUGAGCAAUAACUACAGAUAUGGCCAAAUGGGCAUGGCUGAGAAUAGUGGAAUUAUGAUGAGGGUUGAUAAACAAGAAAUUCUAAGGCUUGGAUGACACUUUUAUUAUGUUAUGUUCAUAUGUGUACUCUGUAUGUUGGAACAUUGAAAAUAUCUUCAGUACAUAUAUUUCAUCUAUCAUCUGUCCCUUAGAGUGAAGUUGAUUUCAUAUGAUUUUUUGAAUAACCCCCAAAGUUUCUUAGUAAAUCUAGACUCCUGGGAUAACUUUUAAGAAUAAUUUUAGUUAUUUCAUAAUAAAAUAGCAUCGUUUUGCCAAAUUACUUGAUUUUAGAAUCUUUUGGGGUGGUAGGAACUUAACACUUAUUAAUAACUCACUGAAUCAGAGUGCUAUGAAGCCCAGUUUGAAAAUCGUUAUGUUUCUUAAUAUAACUGGGGCUCAUUUUGCUGUAAAAUAGAGAAGAUAUGUUUUCAAAUGGGCAUAAUUUCUAAAUAUCUGCACAUAUUCAUUUGCUUUUGAUCCUGGGUAGAAAGUCAUUUGUUCAAUAAGUAACAUAGUUCCUAGUCAUUUACAUUAGUCAAAUUACCACAAAUUUGAUGAAUAUAGAAAAAAAUGUUUUUCUGACUCUUGCACACCAUAAUACUCUGACACUGAUUGUGUGUGAUUUCCCCCCAUACACCAAUCAAUUCUCUAGUAGAUACCAACUGGUUGUCCUCUCAUCCAGUUCAAUUCUGAUGUUGUCUACCUGGAAAUGGCAUUAGAUGCCACAGGGUAAGGGCUCAGUUCUAAAAGAAUGAUGCCUCCAACUUGAGAUAUCAAUUGCCAAGUAGUAGGUUGUCACCUACACUUCUUUUAAAAGUAAUUAUUAUUGUAAUUACAAGUCAACUAAUAGCACAAAUUAAUGGGAUAUUUCCAUACGUGUAUGUGUGAUAGUGACUAUAUAUAUAUAUAUAUAUAUAUAUAUAUAGAGAGAGAGAGAGAGAGAGAGAGAGAGAGAAUGAAUUGAUCUACUCCUAACCAUCCCCAACCUUUAUUUCUGAACAACCAGCUUUAAGUAAGGUUCCUACACUCCCUAUUCUGAUUCAGUUAAUUUCCUAGAGUGAUUCACAGGCCUAAGAAAAGCACUUUACUUAGAUUUUACCAUUUAUUAUAAAGAGUAUUACAAAAGGUACAGAUGAAUAGCUAGAUGCAAAGUACAUUUAGAGCAAGGUAUGUGAAAAGGGACGAGGAGCUUCCAUGCCCUAUCCCAGGUGCUCUGCCCUCCACGCACCACCAUGUGUUCUGCUGUCUGGAAGCUCUUCAGACCUUGGCCUUUUGGGUUUUUAUAGAGGCUUCACAACUUAGGCAUAAUUAAUCACAUUAUUGACCAUUGGUGAUUAAGUCAACUUUUAGCCCUUCUCCCAUCACUGGAAAUCAGGAGUAGGAUGAAAGUUUCAAUCCUUAAUCAUAUGGUUAGUUUCCCCUGGCAAACAACCCCUAUCCUGAGGCUACCCAGGAGCCUACCAAGAAUCUCAUUAGAAAAAAUGAUGCUUCUACCACCCAGGAAAUCCCAAGGGAUUUAGGAGCUCUGUGUCAGGAAUGAGGUGCAGAGACCAAAUAUUUCUUAUUAUGUGACAGUGACUUAAAGAAGACAAAGAUAUUAUCUUACAUAGUUUCGGAGGUCAGAAGUUCUACAAUCAAGGUAACAUCAGGGAUGUUUUCCUUCCAGAGGCUUCUGGGGAGAAUUCCUUUUUCAGCUUUCAGAUGCCACCUGCCUUCCAGAGUUCAUGCUACCUUGCCUGCAUGAUCACUUCAAUCUCUGCUUCUGUCAUCAAUGUCUUCUGACACUGAGCUGCUUGCCUCCCUCUUCCAGAGACUCUUGUGAUUAUAUUGAACUCACUCCAGUAAACCAGAAUAAUCCUAACCAUCUUGAAGUCCUUAACUUAAUUACAUUUCUAAAGUCUCUUUUGGCAUGUUUGGUAACAUAGUCACAGGUUUCAGGAAUUAAGACAUGGACGUAUUUGGAAGGUCAAGAAUCUUUCUACCAAAGUCAUAUACUUCCAUGAAGGAGAAAACUACUGAUCUGUAAUCUAAGGUUUCUUAUAGUAAAUCAAAUCCAUCACUAGAAUUCAAUUUUUCUCAAAGAUAUGUUUAAGCAAUACCAGUGGCUAACAAUUACACAGGGGAAUAUCAUCAUAGAACACGUUGGCUAUCUCUUUAUUCUCUGUUUUAGCUAACUAUGUUUAUUUUUGCUGAUACCAUGGAAUAUUCUCUCUAAAUAUAUCAGCAGGAAUCUCUGAAAUAUAAGUAUAUUUAUUUCUAUUGCCCAAAUAGUAGUGUCCUCUUUUUAAAUAAGCAAAUUGUUACAAACCUUAGCAGGAGGAAACUCUACUAGCUAAACAUAAGCUUUCUUGUGCAAAUGAUUGUUGUUGUUGUCAAGCUUGUACAUAUUAAAUAAAUAAUUGAUCUCUUUGCAUAUACUUCUGUGAUGCAGAGAUUUAAGUUGUGGCACAUACUUAGUAGUGGUAUCAUUAGUUUUUUCCUACAAUUGCUUUUAAUUAUUUUCCCGAUUUCUCACCUGUUUUCCACCCCUUUAAAUAUAUUUUAUAUAUCUUUAUGCCUUGCAUAAAAAUCUUUGGACUUAAGUCAUGUAUGUAUUAAUAAGAAAAUACUUCCUGUUAGUGAUACGGUAUACUUUUUUUGAAGAAGCAUAUAGAAAAUUAAUCCCUGCAAGUCUCUUAAUUUGGUUAGAAUGCCAUCCAAAUAAUUUGAUUUGGAGUUUGACUAGGGAAGAUUUAAAAAUCCACUCAAAUUCACUCUGAUUUAUUUUACUCUCAAGAAUGGUGGAAAUAUCAACUGACUUAUUUUGAUAUUGGAUUCUAUUUUAUAUUUUGAAGACAAAGAAGAACUUGUAGAGGCCCACCAAAAUCAAACAUCUCCUACUUGAUUCAGUAUACCUGAAUUCAAUCUACUCACAUGAGAAGAGCAAAGUUUGGAGGAAACUCUGACAGCAUCAGUAGCAGCAACAGGAGGAGCAGAAGGAGUAGGAGGAGAGUUCAUAGAAUAUGAAAACGAUGGUAUAAGGAACAUUUUUCUGAUCAUAACUAGAAAUUCCUUCCUAUUUAUUUUUUGAUAAGUUAAUAUAAAUACUGCAGUCCUUCUACAGAAUGUCUUUCUCCUUUACAAUUUUUUUCCAUGGUGCUAAAUAGUCUAAAAUUGCCCUGAGGAAGGAAGCAUAUUACUUCCUCUGCCCUCCUCCCAGUUUUCUGUUUAAAUCCUGCUGCUGCCAAGUUUGAGUGGAAAAUCAUUCCACUGCCAGUUGUCAACUUACAUAACUCCUGUCCAAGAAAACUAUUUAAGCAACUUUGAAAUCUGCUUAGAUUUUCAGAGCUCUGUGUGUGUGGUGCAACACCAGUGCUCCUGGAAAACACUGGGAGGCACGCCAUCCUCCCUGAUGAAGCCUCACAGGUGACACCAGUUCCUUGUCAUGGACACUAGCAUAACUGAAGCACCAAGAGGAAGUCUUGGGUUUCCUUGUGUGAACUUCCUGCCAUAAAUCUAUGGAGAACUAUUACUACUAUUAUUAGCACAUGUUAAUUGUGCACUAACUCUAUGCUAGGAAUUGGGCUAAGCCCUAAAGUGCAUUUUUAAUUUAAUCUACACAACAGUCCUUUGAUGGAGCUACUAUUACUAACCUUACCUUAUGAAUAAAGAAUCUAUUGACCUAAGAAGUUAAGUCAUUUCCCCAAGAUCACAUAGUUUAUCAAGUCAUGAUUAAAACCUUUGUGUAUUUGACUUUUAAGCCUACAAUGUUAAUGUUUAUGUCGUAUUCCUAGUUUGUGAGUAUACAGGGAGCCAAAAUUUUGUUGUGAGAGCUCACAUUUGAAAUAUAUAAAUUUCUGAUACAAAAGUAAUAUAGAAGACAUCUCUUUAAGUUAAAAACCCUUCAUUUAGUAUUGUUUCACUCUCCCCCAUCAACUAGAGAUUGCCUUUGCAUUCCGAAAAGAAAUAUAACUCUAAAAUUACUUGGAGAUUUAUGUGUCAUCAUUGGGGCAUAGUAUUAGGGGAAAAAAGAAUAACUUUAAAUCAUUUUGAUGGGAAGCAGCAUAACAGGCAGAUGUAAUGAUGCUAGAAAUGAGGAAAUGGAUCUUAUGCUCUGGUUCAACUUUGACUUUUGAGAACUACUCAGCAUUUUAAUAGUUUUCAUCUUUUUCUUUAACUGAAGAUAUACAUAAAUAUUACAUUAUUAUUAAAUGUAGAAAAUUUUAAUUAUCUGUCUAAAGGCCAUUGACCAGCAACUAGAUUGCAGGCUUUAAGAUCUAAGUAACUCAUACUUGCUGCCCAUUCCUUCUCACAAAGGAAGGUGGGAAGCCCAGCUGCCCAUAUUGCCCAUAAGUCUUCAGCCUAUUCUCUGUCAUGCCUGAUUUGGUCCUCUUUUUGAUGUGUGAGCUUAGCUUUAGGUUCUGUUUCCAUAGAAUUCUUGGCAGUCCAUCCAGCCAACUUGGCUGUAUACUUACACUCUUUGCUACACCACUCAUCUUUGCCCACCAGUCGAUUUCUGGAUAUUGCUUUUGACCCCUUUUCAUGGGCUGAAGUGCAGAAAAAAAUUGCAAAUGUAAAUUGGUCCUGCCAGCUCUCAUUGUAGUGAGCUUCCCUUAACCCAAAACUAAGUGCCUGAAAGAAUCAGCGCUAGAUAGGUAAAAAGUCACUUUAAAUAUAAUGUUUUCAAUAUUUAAUAUUCAAAAAUAUCUAUAUUUAAUCAUAAAAUUACAGUUUUUAUACAUAACUGCUUUUUAAGAGUUAGAACCUGCCAGGUGCAGUGGUGCAUGUCUGUAAUCCCAGCAGCUCAGGAAGCUGAGAUAGGAGGAUCUAGAGUUCAAAGCCAGCCUCAGCAAUGGCGAAGUGCUAAGCAACUCAGUGAGACCCUGUCUCUAAAUAAAAUACGAAAUAGGGCUCGGAAUAUGGCUCAGCGGCUGAGUGUCCCUGGAUUCAAUCCCUGGUACAAAAAAAAAAAAAAGAGAGAGAGAGAGAACCUGAUACAUUUGCUCACUUAUUUCCUUCUUCCUUCCUAAUUUUCUUCUUUCUUUCUUGACUUUCUGUCUAGAAAUUUCAGUAAAGUUUGAACUAGGAGGUGUGAAUUAGCAGCUUUGGGGUGUUAUAACACUUCAACAUGUCAUAGUAGUUAGAAAAGCAUUUAUAUUAAAGUUUUUUAAAAUAGAUUAACUGGGAAAAUAUGAGACUAUAUCUUAUAAAGGUUCCUCUAAAAUUGCUUUCAUUAUCAAGGUCCAACCAAAACUAUAAAGAUUUAAGAGAAAAACCCUACCAUGCUUUAUUUUUCUUACUUUUGUAUAUGUAUUAGGCAGGUUCCCCAGAGAAACAGAGCCAAUAGAAUAUAUAUGGAGGUAUAUAUAAAAGAGAUUUAUUAUUCAAGAUUGGCUCACUAGAUUACAUUGGCUGAGAAAUCCUAUGAUCUGCCAUCUGCAAGGUAGAGAACCAGGAAAGCCCAUGAUGUGGUUUCAGUUCAAGUCUGUAGGCCUAUGACUCUGGGGAGCUAGUGGUACACAGGACAGAGAGUGAAGGCCAAAUAAACAGGAGUGUUGAUGUGCAUGGGUAGAAGAUGGAUGUCUUGCUUCAAGAAGAAAGGGAAUUUACACUUACUCUGUCUUUUUGUUUUUUCUGGAGGUCUUCAGUUGAUUGUAUGAUGCCCACCGACACUGGUGAAGGCAAAUCUUUACUCACUCUAACAGAUAACAAUGCAUUAUGGAAGAUGGCCGCUGCGUACGGGGGUUGCUGAAGUGCUGAGCGUGGUGCUCAAAGCAGUGGCUUUAAUAGAGAUUUCGCACAGUCUGUUAGAGCUCCUUUUACCGUUAAUCUGUAGCGGACCACUUUGCCAAGGAGCAGGAAGAACAAAGAAAUCGAAAAAGAGACGCUUGGCUGCUCAGAGCCGCGGGCGCUUUGCUCCCAUCUGCUUCCUCUUUCGCUUCGCUCCGGGCGGAGAAGCUGAAUGUGUAAUCAGCAGUGGAUUGUAAGUACCCGAGGCAAAGAAAGCUCAGUGCGCCCCGCCUUUUUUUUCUUUUUUUCUUUUUUUUUUUCUUCUUUUUUUUGAAUAUUUUUUAUACAGGGAGAGUUUGUGGAUUGGGAUUGUUGGCGGGGCUGUGGUUUCUGUGCCGAAAAUCCACUCCGCGGGAGCCGCCAUUUGCUUUCUGCUUGCUGUCUUGAUGGCUCUGUAUACACUGUCCGGCAGCCGCACCUAGAGGUUGGAGCUGGGCUGCGUGCCGAGCCCUGUCCUCCGAAGGCUGGACUGCAGCCUCGAGCGUCUCGGUGGCCUGUUCGCCGCUGCACCUUCGGGCAGAGCCUGCUCUGGGGUCGUUCUGCACCCCCCUGCCAGGGGACCCGUGCUCCGGAGGAGGGGGACGGAGAGCCGCGGCGGCAGCCGCUUGGGCCCCUGGGGCCUGGCACCGGGCUGAAGAGCUGCGGAGGCCAGGGCGGCUCUGCUACGGUCGCAGACAAGCGCGGCGCUCGUGAGCGCAGCCCAGAGACGGAGGCGACGGCGGCAGGGUUUCAUUUCUAGAAAUCUGGACUGGAAACAGAAGCAGCAGUUUGUAUAAUCCCAAGAACUUGCUUAUACCAGGAAGCUGUAAGGGCAACAUGAAUAUCACUGAGGAGAUGUAACAUGGUGGCAGGCGCAGAGAGAUCAAGUCUCUGACAUCUUCAACUGCGCGGGCAUAGGGAGCCGUAAACUGUCUAAAUGCUGUUUGCUCAGGAUCACUAGGCAAUGCUGAGCUGACGUGGAUCUGGGGUGUACAGGCUGGGCCCCUCAGAACACACACACAGAGCCCGAAUCGGAGGCAAUUAAGCUCCGGUUCGCCUGCUUCGUGUGACUCAGCACUAACGAUCCCGCUGAAAUAAUUGGCCGGCCCUUAGGAACUUACAGAGGUAAAAGCCAACCGAGCCUUCAUAGGCAGUGGCCACAGGACUGAAACGGGGAUUGGGAGAGACAGUCAGGACCCACCCGUUGCAUUGGUCACCCGGCAAAGGGAACAAACGGUCACCAUUUGCAUGGGAUAUCACCAUGGCAGAGAAAUGGCGUCACGGGCGGAGGAGAUAACUGCAUUGAAACCAGCGCGACAGGUGUGUAAUCCCCUAGCCAUCUCUCUCCACACAGCGGGGAAACCUUAAGGGCCACUCCCAGCUCUCCUGUGAACGCAAUAACCAGACCGAGGGAAUCAGGAGUGGCGCGGGACUCGCGGCGCGGAACUCCCGGCUACCGCUCCCACCAGUGCUGACAACUGAGGUCUCUUGCACCAGCUACCGGGGGCGUGGCUACAGGAGGGCAAGCAAAUUCGCUGGGGGAUCUCAGCCCCAAGCUCUACAAACUUAGGGUCUGAGGGAGGCAAACAGGGAGAGUGAGCCCAGGUGUUCAUGAAAACAGGGCUCCCAGGAGCAGCAGACCUGGCGUGUAGCCAGUAUUGUGGUGAGCGCCACAGGUGAGCACGGCCUGGCUUGAGGAAACACAAGACAAGGCCCUAGACACUCAGGAUUGGAGAUCCGCCCAGUCUAGGAGAAAGAGCUGCUGCACAGUGAAUGGUUCCCACCUACUGAGAGGAGAAGCUUGGCCCAGUGGGCACAGCUCCACCUACUGGAAGAGAAGUUAAUAGAACUCUAGAAUUGCAUUUAUUAUUAUUAUUAUUAUCAUUUUUUCUUUUUCUUUUUUUUCUUCUNCAUGCAUUUUAUCUGAUCAUAAUGGAAUGAAACUGGAAAUCAAUGAUAAAAGAAGGAAGGAAAAAUCCUACAUCACAUGGAAAAUGAACAAUAUGUUACUGAAUGAUCAAUGGGUUACAGAAGACAUAAAGGAAGAAAUCAAAAAAUUCUUAGAGAUAAAUGAAAAUACAGACACAACAUAUCGGAAUCUAUGGGACACAAUGAAAGCAGUUUUAAGAGGGAAAUUCAUCGCUUGGAGGUCAUUCCUCAAAAAAAGGAAAAACCAACAAAUAAAUGAGCUCACACUUCAUCUCAAAGCCCUAGAAAAGGAAGAGCAAAACAACAGCAAAUGUAGCAGAAGGCAAGAAAUAAUUAAAAUCAGAGCGGAAAUCAAUGAAAUUGAAACAAAAGAAACUAUUGAAAAAAUUAACAAAACUAAAAGUUGGUUCUUUGAAAAAAUAAAUAAGAUCGACAGACCCUUAGCCAUGCUAACGAAGAGAAGAAGAGAGAGAACUCAAAUCACUAACAUACGGGAUGAAAAAGGCAAUAUCACAACAGACACUACAGAAAUACAGAAGACAAUUAGAAAUUAUUUUGAAAACCUAUAUUCCAAUAAAAUAGAAGAUAGUGAAGACAUCGAUAAAUUCCUUAAGUCAUAUGAUUUGCCCAGACUGAGUCAGGAGGAUACUCACAACUUAAACAGACCAAUAACAAUAGAUGAAAUAGAAGAAGCAAUCAAAAGACUUCCAACCAAGAAAAGCCCAGGACCGGAUGGGUAUACAGCGGAGUUUUACAAAACCUUUAAGGAAGAAUUAAUACCAAUACUUUUCAAGUUAUUUCAGGAAAUAGAAAAAGAAGGAGCUCUGCCAAAUUCAUUCUAUGAGGCCAACAUCACCCUGAUUCCGAAACCAGACAAAGACACCUCAAAGAAAGAAAACUACAGACCAAUAUCUCUGAUGAACCUAGAUGCAAAAAUCCUCAAUAAAAUUCUGGCGAAUCGGAUACAAAGGCACAUCAAAAAAAUUGUGCACCAUGAUCAAGUAGGAUUCAUCCCUGGGAUGCAAGGAUGGUUCAAUAUACGGAAAUCAAUAAAUGUUAUUCACCACAUCAAUAGACUUAAAAAUAAGAACCAUAUGAUCAUCUCAAUAGACGCAGAAAAAGCAUUCGACAAAGUACAGCAUCCCUUUAUGUUCAAAACAUUAGAAAAACUAGGGAUAACAGGAACUUACCUCGACAUUGUAAAAGCUAUCUAUGCUAAGCCUCAGGCUAGCAUCAUUCUCAAUGGAGAAAAAUUGAAGGCAUUCCCCCUAAAAUCUGGAACAAGACAGGGAUGCCCUCUAUCACCACUUCUAUUCAAUAUAGUUCUCGAAACACUGGCCAGAGCAAUUAGACAGACGAAAGAAAUUAAAGGCAUAAAAAUAGGAAAGGAAGAACUUAAAUUAUCACUAUUUGCAGAUGACAUGAUUCUAUACCUAGAAGACCCAAAAGGGUCUACAAAAAAACUACUAGAACUAAUAAAUGAAUUCAGCAAAGUGGCAGGAUAUAAAAUCAACACGCAUAAAUCAAAGGCAUUUCUGUAUAUCAGCGACAAAACUUCUGAAACGGAAAUGAGGAAAAACACUCCAUUCACAAUAUCCUCAAAAAAAAUAAAAUACUUGGGAAUCAACCUAACAAAAGAGGUGAAAGAUUUAUAUAAUGAAAACUACAAAACCCUAAAAAGAGAAGUAGAAGAAGAUCUUAGAAGAUGGAAAAAUAUACCCUGUUCAUGGAUAGGCAGAACUAACAUCAUCAAAAUGGCGAUAUUACCAAAAGUUCUCUAUAGGUUUAAUGCAAUGCCAAUCAAAAUCCCAACGGCAUUUCUUGUAGAAAUGGAUAAAGCAAUCAUGAAAUUCAUAUGGAAAAAUAAAAGACCCAGAAUAGCAAAAGCAAUUCUAAGCAGGAAGUGUGAAUCAGGCGGUAUAGCAAUACCAGACUUCAAACUAUACUACAGAGCAAUAGUAACAAAAACAGCAUGGUACUGGUACCAAAACAGGCGGGUGGACCAAUGGUACAGAAUAGAGGACACAGAGACUAAUCCACAAAGCUACAACUAUCUUAUAUUUGAUAAAGGAGCUAAAAGCAUGCAAUGGAGGGAGGAUAGCAUCUUCAACAAAUGGUGCUGGGAAAACUGGAAAUCCAUAUGCAACAAAAUGAAACUGAAUCCCCUCCUCUCACCAUGCACAAAAGUUAACUCAAAGUGGAUCAAGGAGCUAGAUAUCAAAUCAGAGACUCUGCGUCUGAUAGAAGAAAAAGUUGGUGCCGAUCUACAUAUUGUAGGGUCGGGCUCCAAAUUCCUUAAUAGGACACCCAUAGCACAAAAGUUGAUAACAAAAAUCAACAAAUGGGACUUACUUAAACUGAAAAGUUUUCUCUCAGCAAGAGAAACAAUAAAAGAGGUAAAUAGGGAGCCUACAUCAUGGGAACAAAUUUUUACUCCUCACACUUCAGAUAGAGCCCUAAUAUCCAGAGUAUACAAAGAACUCAAAAAAUUAAACAAUAAGAAAACAAAUAACCCAAUCAACAAAUGGGCCAAAGACCUGAACAGACACUUCUCAGAGGAGGACAUACAAUCAAUCAACAAGUACAUGAAAAAAUGCUCACCAUCUCUAGCAGUCAGAGAAAUGCAAAUCAAAACCACCCUAAGAUACCAUCUCACUCCAGUAAGAUUGGCAGCCAUUAUGAAGUCAAACAACAACAAGUGCUGGAGAGGAUGUGGGGAAAAGGGUACUCUUGUACAUUGCUGGUGGGACUGCAAACUGGUGCGGCCAAUCUGGAAAGCAGUAUGGAGAUUCCUGGGAAAGCUGGGAAUGGAACCACCAUUUGACCCAGCUAUUGCCCUUCUUGGACUUUUCCCUGAAGACCUUAAAAGAGCGUACUACAGGGAUACUGCUACAUCGAUGUUCAUAGCAGCACAAUUCACAAUUGCUAGACUGUGGAACCAACCCAGAUGCCCUUCAAUAGAUGAAUGGAUAAAAAAAAUGUGGCAUUUAUACACAAUGGAGUAUUACUCUGCAUUAAAAAAUGACAAAAUCAUAGAAUUUACAGGGAAAUGGAUGGCAUUAGAGCAGAUUAUGCUAAGUGAAGCUAGCCAAUCCCUAAAAAACAAAUACCAAAUGUCUUCUUUGAUAUAAUGAGAGCAACUAAGAACAGAGCAGGGAGGAAGAGCAGGAAGAAAAGAUUUACAUUAAAUAGAUACAUGAGGUGGGAUGGAAAGGGAGAGAAAAGGGAAAUUGCAUGGUAAUGGAGGGAGACCCUCAUUGUUAUACAAAAUUACAUAUAAGAGGUUGUGAGGGGAAUGGGAAAAUAAACAAGGAGAGAAAUGAAUUACAGUGAAUGGGGUAGAGAGAGAAGAUGGGAGGGGAGGGAGGGGGGAUGGUAGAGGAUAGGAAAGGUAGCAGAAUACAACAGUUACUAAUAGGGCAUUAUGUAAAAAUGUGGAUGUGUAACCGAUGUGAUUCUGCAAUCUGUAUUUGGGGUAAAAUUGGGAGUUCAUAACCAACUUGAAUCUAAUGUAUGAAAUAUGAUAUGUCAAGAGCUUUAUAAUGUUUUGAACAACCAAUAAAAAAAAUUAAAAAAAAACAAAAAAAAAACAACAAUGCAUUAUAUAUUUCAAAGAGCUAGAAGAAAGGAUUUUGAAAAUUUAUUGUAAAGAAAUUGAUAAAUAGCCAGGUGCAGUGGCACACACCUGUAAUUCUAGCGCCUUGGGAGGCUGAGGCAGGAGGAUUGAGAGUUCAAAGCCAGCCUCAGCAAAUAUGAGGCACUAAGCAACUCAGACCCUAUAUCUAAAUAAAAUACAAAAUAGGGCUGGGGAUAUGGCUCAGUGGUUGAGUGCCUUUGAGUUCAAUCCCUGGUACCCCUCAUCCCCCUGAAAAUGAAAAUGAUAAAUAUUUGAGGAGAUAGAUAAUGUUUAUCCUGUAUUAGCAUGUAUCAAACAUUAAAUGAUACCUCACUAAUAUAUAUAUAUAUAUAUAUAUAUAUAUAUACACACACACACACACACACAUAUUUAUGGUUGAUAUUUAUUACACAGGAUUGACAUAUAUAUAUAUAUAUAUAUAUAUAAUGUUUUUGAUGUGUCAAAUUUUAUAAAUUUUUAUCAUUCUCUACCUAUUUUUCACAAAUACAUUCAUUGAAACAAAUAUGUGUUUGUCUAAGUCAUUCAUCCUAAGUGUUUAUUUAGUUUAAAUAAUACAUAAAAACAUCUUCUUUUCUUGAGCUAUUUGAUCUUCGUAUCCCUUGUAUCAGAUUAUUCUCCAAAUUGUUUUAUUCUGAAAACUAGAGCCCUAUUCAGUAAUGGACAAAAUGAAAUAAUAACCUUAUUUUAGAGUCUACUUUCUUAAAUUGUCAGUAGUUUCACAUAGUUUUCAUACCUUAUGUAUUACUUCAAUAGCCAAAUUACUGCCUUGAUGCUAAGGUUCUUCAUUUAUUUUUUCCCAACUUUAAUUAUUAUAACAUUUUCAGAUAAAACCUGAUUUGUUUUACAGUUUUAUAACUUCUUUUCAUUAAGAGAUGUUUUUCAUAAAAUGUAUUGUUUCAAAACAUAUAUUGUUUCUGACACCUUAAGUCAUCCCUGGCUUUAACUAGUAUUAUAUUAAAAUGAUAUAUUCAGGCCAGGUGUGUAGUGCACACCUGUAAUCCUAGUGAUUUGGGAGGUUGAGACAGGAAGAUUGCAAGUUUAAGGCCAGCUUUAGUAAGGAUCUGUCUCAAAGUAAAAAAAUAGAAAGUUCUGUAGCUCAGUGGUAGAACUCCCCUGGAUUCAGUCACCAGUACAAAAAAAAAUUCUCAUUAGAGGGUUAAGAUAAUUUGUUCUUCACUUUGUUUCAAUUUCUUCAAAUUUACUUUGUUUCUGUUUCUUCAAAUAUCAGUAUUCUCUAAGAUGGUGACUAUUUCUACUCUAAUGAAACUAAAACCUAUGUCAAUAGAGAAUCAAUGGAGAAUCUAGUGUUAACUGUGUACAGAGUGAGUUAACUGCAAUAAUUUGACAUAUUUUUCUAAUUAAAAUUCCAUGCAUAGAUUGUUAGGAACACAGAUUCCUAUUUUAUUAAUUACUUGAGACUUUCGUAUAAAAAGUAGAAAUUUUAGGGAAAAGGAUGUCAUUUUGUAAAUAGAAAGAUCCUCUGCUGCUUAUUUCUCAGUGUUUCUGAAACUCCUUAAAGAUGCUUGCAUAUAUGUCUCAGGACCCUUUAUGAGGAAUACAGAUGUUCCUUAACUUGAGGUAGGGUUAUGUCCCUAUAAACCCACUGUAAGUUGAAAAUGCGUUUGAUUCACUUAACCUACUGAGCAUAAUAGCUCAGUAACACAGAGUAUCAAUUGUUUACCCUCAUGAUCAAGUGACUGAUGGAGAUGUGAAUUGCUGCUGCUGUCCAGAAAAUAGCAUCACAGAAAACUCAAAAUUCAAAGCAUUUUUUUUUCUGAAUACAUAUCACCAUUGUAAAGUCAAAGACUCCUAAGUAAAACCAUCAUAAUUUGGGGAUCAUCUUUAAAUGAGAUAAUAUUGGCUUGACACUGUUUUUGUGGGCAAUGUGUAGUUUCCCAGAAUCUUUUUAGAUAAAGAUUGUAUAUAGGAGAUUUUUCUUUACAUGCUUUUAUAGGAGAGUUUUCUAUACAUGCUUAUCAAAGAAAAAAGUUUUAAAGUGGGCAUGGUAGCUUGCAUCUAUUGGCUAGUUAUUUAAGAGACUUAGGCAGGAGAAUCUCUUGACUCAGUGUUUGAGAUGAACCUGGACAACAAAAAGAAAGAAAGAAAGACAGAAAGAAAGAAGGAAAGAAAGAAAGAAAGAAAGAAAGAGAGAGAGAGAGAGAGAGAGAGAGAGAGAGAGAGAGAGAGAGAGGGAGGGAGGGAAGGAGGAAGACAGGGAGGGAGAGAGGAAGAAGUUUCACACAUGUAGUCAUUUUUUAUUUGUUUUUGAAAUGCUGGGUAUCAAACCCAUGCCAACUAAGCACUGUAUUACUGAGCUACAUCUCUAGCUCCAAAAAACUUCUCUAAUGUCCUAAUCUGUUUGUGUUGCUGUAACAUACCACAGUCUAGGCAAUUUAUAAAGUGCAGAAAUCCCUCUCUCUCUCUCUCUCUCUCUCUCUCUCUCUUUAUUUAUUUGUUUGCCCCUCUUUCUGUUCUCCUCUUAUGCAUGGUGCUUAGGAUUAAAGCCAGGAAAGGUGCUACCACUGAAUCACAUUCCAGUCCUUUUUAUUUUUUUAUUUUGAGCUGAGUUACCCAGGCUGGCCUUGAACUUGUAAUUUUCCUGCCGUUGCUGCCUGAGUAGCUUGGAUUACAGAUGUGUGCCAACUAUUUUUUACACUUCUGGUAGCUGGGAAGCCCCAAAUCAAGUUGCUAGUCUUUGGUGACUGGUGAGGGCCUUAUAUCAUGUCUUUAUAUGGUAGAAUGGGUACAAGGUGUUUUAAUCAGCUCUUUCAUCUUUGUAAACAAAAGACCUGACAAAAACAAUUUUAGAGGAGGAAAAGUUUAUUUGGUACUCAUGGUUUCAGAGGUCGCAGACCAUAGAUAGUUGGCAAAAUUGCUCUGGCCUGAGGUGAGGCAGAAUAUCCUGGUGGAAGAGUGUGGUGGAGGAAAGCAGCUCAGUACAUGGUCACCAGAAGCAGACAGAUUCCUCAAUAGGAAUAAAUAUACCCAAACAGCAUGCUCCAGUGACCUUCCUUCUCCAGUUACACCCUACCUGCCUAGGGUUAUCAACCCAGUUAAUCCAUUCAAGUGGAUCGAUGCACUGAUUAGGUUAAAGCUCUCAAACCUAAUCAUUUCACAUUUAAAUUUUCUUGCAUUGUUUCACACAUCAGCUUUGGGGAUACCUCGUAUCAAAUGAUGACAGAAAGGCAAAGAAAAGGAGGUGAGCACUGUGUUCUCAAAGGGGAAAGAGCAGAAGAGCAAAAAGGACCAAAGGCAAUUCCUUUCAGCUCUUUUUAUAAGAGAUGGAGUAAUACAUUCAGGAGGGUACAGCCCCCAUGACAAAAACGCUUCCCAGAAGGCCCCAUCUCUUAGUACCACCACAAUAGGUAUUAGUUUCAGCAUGUAAAUUUUAGGGGACAUCCAGACCAAAGUGGCUAGAAAAACCCAACUUCUGAAAUUCUCAGUGCCUAAUCUUAAUAAGUGUUCAAAUGCUUCAGGGUCCACAAAGUGAAGUGCAAAGAAAUUGUCAGGUACAUCUUUAUUUGCCACAAUUAGAACCUGCAUGCUCUCUUUUUCUUUCGUAAGUGUUCCUACUAGAUAAAAAAGGAAAUUAUGGUCCUUCAUAAGAUUCAAACAUAUUUUAAAGCAAUAUUUCAUUAUAAUUUUUGUGUUUGAAUUUUAAUAUUAAUUGCUAAUGGACAACACCAAAAUUUGUCUUGGAAUGAUAAUUUUCUGAAAGUAAAAAUUAAAGAUAAUAACAACAUGUUGGAGAAUGACUAUGACAAUUAAAUAAAUAUUAAUAGAUUAUAGUGAUUAAUGAUAAAUUUUUGCUAAUGGAACUUAGUUCUAUGUAGCCAUCCUGAUGAGACUGUGAUGGAAUUGUUUGUUUUUGAAAUAAGCUUUUACUGUGAAAAGAAGAGAGAAAUGUAAUGAUGCUCUUAUUUUUGAUCAUAUUUAAGAUGCUAUUGAUUCAAAAUUUCACAAUUGAUUUAUGUACGUCUAAGUAAGAAAAAGCAUUGCCAAUAAACCCUGACACACUAUAGGUUGAAAUACUCAUCCCAAUUUUAAAUUGCUAAGAUGGUGAGAAAUAGAAAGUCUGGUGGUUUAUUUUCAAAAUCUAGCAUUCAGCCUUAACUGGAUUCAUUUGUAAUCCUUUCCUUGCCCACCCUAAUUCUAAAAUUAGCUAAUCGUGUAGAUUGUACCCUGAGCUCUUCCUAGGGUCAAUACUUCCUUAGGGAUAAAUGUUGGUGGGAUACCUGCCCAUUGUGCUUUCUUGCUGGAUUCCCUUUGGGAGCACACCCUUCUGCAGAAGUAAAGUUUUGCCUUGCCUGCCCACUUUUGAGCACGUUUGAAUUCUUGAGAUACCUCUUAUAUCUAACAAAUGUAGUAACAAGCAAUUGUAAAAUUGAUGAAAAAUUAUGAAUUUAAUUUUUAAAAUAUAAACGUUUCUUUGUUUGACCAGCGCAAGGUGAGAGAAUAAAUGUCUAAAGCCCUUAAAAUAAAUAACUUGGAAAAACAAAGCACACUCAGUUUAGGUAUCUAAUUUGAUUUUUAACCUCCCUGUUCAAUAAUUUACAUGUCUCUCUUCUAUUGAGAAUGGAAGUAGAGAUUUCAAUGAGAAAAAAAAAAUGCUGAUGGAAUAAGCUUUUGUCAAGGGACCACACCAUUUUUCUUGUAAGUUUAAUGAAACUGUGUCUUCCAUAGAGUAUGUAAGUUGGAGAAAAAAUAAUGGGAAAAAUGAAAUAAAAAUCUGAAGGUAGUACCCUUGCCUCUCUAUAGAGUUUUAGAAUCUCUACAAUAUCUUCACAUGAACAUUACACACACCCCUGAAAAAUAGCCUAUGAAAUAGAUAGCUUUGGUCAAUUUAAUUAGGAUCUUUGAACUCAGUUUUAACAUCUCCAAAAUGAAUAGAAUAUCUACUUCAUGGGAUUCUUGCAAAGAUUAAAUGAAAUUGUCAUCAUCCAAUUGUUCAUGAGCAGAGGAGACCUUUACUAGGAAUUUUUGGGUUCUUGACUCAUUGCAGAAAAGAAUUUAAGGACAUGUUGGGUCAGAGUAGCAGAGCAAGGAAUUUAUUGUAAUGGGAAAGUACAUAGUCAAAAAUGAAAGUGCAGGCAACCCCAGAGAGAGUCAUGCAUAGUUUCAGCUUGGGGUUCCAAUACUUACAGCAUAGCUCCGGUGCUGGACUAGAUGUGGAGUCAGGAAAGGCUUAUGGCAUUUCAUGCCAGUUUUCUUUGCACUGUGUGUUGCCCUUGUGUGUUGUAAUUGUGCUAUUUGCUGCACCGCAUACCUCAUUAAUGUCUUAAAUCUCCACGGGGGGAUGUGUGCCUUACUAUUAAGAUGAGGUUAACGUCACUUCUUGGUCACUAAAGCCUUUAAUGGGUAGACUCUCUAAAGGAGCAGUCACUCCUGCUGUCUUCUAGUUAUCUUGCGGUUUUGUUGCUUUUUCAUUGGCCAGGUUGGGGGUGGGUUGCUUGAGUUGUUUUUCAUUCCAAUGGUCCAUGGGAGUUUCCUGCCUUCUAAGAGUUCAUAGGCAUUUCCCUUUUAAGACUCAGUCCUUUCUUUAAUCCCUAAGUUCCUAUCUCAAAAUGUUUGUCUGGUAUUUGUGAGUGUUUGACCCACAGCAUGUAUUCAGAAAUGGAUAUUUAUUGUGUAUAUCUAUUAAUAGUUUCGAUAUGUCAAAUUAACAGGUGGAAGCUUAUGGAGUCUUUUAUUUGUCCAGGCCACACAGGUUUAGAAUAGAGUCAGGUCAAUUGAUUAAAGCCCUCUCUAUUGUUAUCUCCCUGAAAUUUCCACACAACUAUACUCCCUCUUUGUGAUCCAUGGGAACAUUCUGAAAUGCUUCCUUUGAAGAUUAAGUAUGUAUAAGGUCCUUGCUUAGCAUCUGGACAGCCAUCUUAAGUGACAAACGCCAUUUGAAGGAAAAAGUUUUGCUUUCCCGCCCAAGGACAUUUCUGAGAAAGGCUCACCACUCUCUCAUACCAACCCAACCCCUAAUGCCCACAUGAGGACCCCCCCAGCUUUGAUUUCUGAACCUGCCCCAUAAAAGUCCCCAAACCCAAGCCUGUUUUGCCUCUCUUUUCUAUAGAGAGAUGACCUUUAUUUGUCAGCUCUGACAAAUAAACUCUGCUGUGUAUCUCUGCCUGAUCUCCGUCUUUCAUUUCUUGCUUACCCAUCUCUCUUUCUUCAUUUUCCCUUUAUUUUGGUGCCAAAACCUGGGAUUGGGUUCCCUGGUGUGCCCGCUCCCCUCUUUGAGGGUCACUGAGAGUCCCCGGCCUCCUUGAUCUAAAUUCCAUUGUGGGACCAAUCCCUCCAUCUGUACCCACCACUGGACAUUCUAGGUAAGACCACUGACUCUAGUCAACCUAACUGACCUAUGGGUCUCAGGAAAUGAACAUUGGGACAUGUGGUCAAGGCUACCUCUAGCAACUGCUUUCACAGCUAUGGCUGAUCCCUACUGUUGACUGGGUCUAUAGGGUCCUGGGUUUUGAGAAAAAAACCACCAAGGGUGACUGAGAAUUAUUCCUGGUGAGACUACCUCUCAGACUUGGGUUAAUCUCCAUGGGCUUCUGCCCCUACUGCAUAGUCCCUGCCAGGUGCCCAAGUGCCUCUAUGGGCUCCUGUCCCGAUGCUUACCCAGCUGUGGUGAUGUACCCCUGAGCAUAACCAUCCUCUCAACUAGGUGAUACGAGAGACUGGGGGAUGCCCCACCUCUAAAUCACCUCCUGUAUCUCAUCCUGGGCAGCUCCUCACCCAUUCCCUCCCAUGGUCCCCUAGGCUUUCUCCUGGCUAACCAAGGGUCUCUCUCUGUCUCUCUCUCUCACCCUGGACCUAACCCCACCCAAACUUAUCUGCUUGUGCAAUCAGAUCUGGCCUCAAUAUCCUUUGGAUACUGAUUCUAAAUGAUCAUUAACGACACUCUAGAUUCCAAUAUUAUCAGGGAUCUUUUCAACUAUUGUUAGUGUUCGUGAAAAUGGAAAGGGAUACUGUAUGUUCAGGCCUUCUCAUCUCUAUGUUUUAAGCUUUCUCUCUGCAACUCUUGCUCUCCCACACCAGUCCUCUUAACUCUCACCUCCCCAGUGCCCAGCAGAUGAACCCCCACCAUACCACAAUUCUCUUUCCAAUGAAGCCGCUGCAGCAACUGCCCCUUAGCCCCUUUGCCCCUCUCUCCUCUUGCUACCUGCUUAUAGGCUGCUGCUGCCCAACCUGCAUCUCUGUGUCCUCUAUGGGAGGUGGCUGGGGUAGAUGGUGUAAUAUGGGUUUAUAUGCCUUUCUCUUUGUCAGAUCUUUCACAGAUAGAAAAGUGGCUUGGGUCUAUACUUCAAGCCCCACCACAUAUAUCAAAGAGUUUCAAUAUCUGACUCAAUCAUAUGAUUUGACCUUCCACAAUGUCCAUAUAAUCUUGUCUAACACCCUCCUGCCCAAGGAGUGCAGGCAAGUUUGGGAGCAAGCUAGAAAUUAUGCUGAUGAGGUACAUCAGACCUCCCCUGCCCUUCUGAUUGGCACUGAAGCCGUCUCUGAUUAGGAUUAUAAUUCACCUGGAGGAGUAACUAGUGGAAACUAAUUGAUUACUUGCCUCAUGGCAGGAUUUAUAAAGGCAGCCCAUAAGGCUAUCAAUUAUGAAAAGCUCCAGGAAAUCAUCCAAGAUAAGAAUGAAAACUCUUUAGCAUUUUUAGAUUGCCUGACCAAGGUUUUAUUACACUAUACUAAUCUGGACCCUGAGAUUCCAGAUGCGAGAGAACAAUUAAUGACCUACUUUUUCUCCAAGAGUUUCCCCGAUAUUAAAAUGCCAAACUAAGCCAUCUUGAGGGUGGCCCCCAAACUCCCCAAGCUGAGGUUCUGGGAGUAGCCUUUAAGGUGUAUAAUGGGAGAGACCAGAAGGCCUGGAAGCAGAAAUAUCAGAUACUCACUUAAGCCAUCCAUCCAGCCUCAACAUCUGUCCCUGGUUCCAUGGCCUGGGGAAGGGUCCCCCGGGACCUCCCAGAAGGGUCACUAGGCUCCUACAUGUCCCAAGCCUCACAAGCCUCUGAGCCCUUGUCCUAAAUGCCAUCACGAGGGCCACUGGGCUUUUGACUGUCCCCAAGCCCAUAGUGGUCCCUGGCCACCCAGCCCUUCUAGUUCCCCUUUCUAACUCUUAGGACCAGCUGCAGAGGACUGAAAAGGCCUAGGUCCCCAUAACCUGACCACUACCAUCACUCCAUAGGAACCCAGGGUAACUGCGUAUUUCAGGUAGUCCUAUCUUCUUCCUCCUAGACACCGGGGCUACAUAUUCAGUCCUCAAAGAGUUCUGGGGCCUACUACUCAUUCUGUGACCUCUAUUGUUGGGGUAGAGGGUUAACCUUAUCAACACUUACAAACACCUAGCCUUGUUUGUGCUUUUGGCUCUGUAAUUUUUACCCACUUCUUUUUGGUCAUACCACAGUUCCCUGUUCCCCUUAUGGAAAGGGACACCAUCACAACAUUGGGGGUUAUGCUUUCCUUCUCCCCUCAUAUAUGCUUCCAUUCAGACUUGCCUACCACUCCCCUGAUCCUCACCCUUACCUUAGGAUCAUCCACUAUUCUGUCUGCCAGUGGCUUCCAAUUACCCCCUUCUGAGGUGGACCCUACUGUCUGGGAUAUUUCAAGUCCUCACACCUCACACCAUGAGCCCAUUCACAUCUGUCUCAAAAACUCCCUCCAUUUUCUGGCCUAAUCACAAUACUCGCUCUCCAGACAAAAUCUCCUAGGCUUAAAGUCUAUCAUUCAAGACCUCUUGCAAGAGGGAUUCCUUAGACCUACUCAUUUCCCUUAUAACACUCACAUCUUGAAAGUAAAAAAAAGUCCAAUGGUUCCUACCACUUGGUCCAAGACCUUCAUUCCAUCAACUCUGCGGUCAUCCCAAUCCAUCCCAUGGUAACCAAUCCUUAUACUCUUCUCUCCACCAUUCCUUCUGGGAGCUCUUACUUCUCAGUGCUAGACCUGAAAGAUGCCUCUUCUUUAUUCCCAUACAUCCUUACUUUUAAGACAUUUCACCUUUACAUGGACAAACCCUGAGUCAUGUAACUCCACUUUGUUGACAUGGACAGUUCUCCCCCAAGGGUUCUGAGACAGUCCUCUUAUCUUCGGCUAAGGAUCUAGCAUCCAUACAUCUCACUCAGCCUAUGGUGCUACAAUAUGUUGAUGACCUCCUUCUUUGCAGUCCCUCCUUUGAGGUCAGUCAUCAGGACACCUUUAUGCCUGUGGCCAUAGGGUUUCUCCAUCCAAGGUACAGCUUUCCUUGGCAAUGGUAACAUACCUAGGCCUCCUCCUGAUUGGACUAAACUCCUUCCCUUGGCUCUUAGGUUAUGGGUCCUCCUAAUGAAGCCACUCAACAUCUCCCCUUUUGAGCUUCUAUAUGGACGACCUAUCUCCUCGCUCAGCUCACCACCCUCUGAUUAUCCACUACCCCUUGCUCCUCAUCUUUUCUAGCCCCUUCUUGCAUAUAUUAGGAACAGCAAUACAGUGAUGCUGUUCUGGAAAAGCCUAGUUCUGCCUCUUCCCCUUCUCCCACUCUGUUUCCUGGUGACCUGGUACUUUUUAACCCCCCAAACAGGCUCCCCACCUUCUCUCAACUAUCUGCAAAAUGGAUUGAUCCCUAUUUGGUCAUUCUUACCACUCCCUUGUCAGCCUGCCUUGAGGGUAUCUCAUAUUGGAUUCAUAACUUCGUCUUUUUAUACAGUGACACCCACAGGCCCUCUCAAGCUGUAUUUCUCCAAGGCCAGAAUCCCCAUUCUUCCUUUGGUCUCUGAGGACCACAAGGACACUGCAAAACCAUAAGUACCAUCCUUCCCUUUUUCAUUUUGCCCUCCUCCCUCAUUCUACACUCAUUCCCAGGGGUACUAUUAUCAGGAAUUAUCAUUCAAUUUCUAGGAGACUUACAGCAACUUGCUCAAACCAUACUGACCGUACAAUCCCAGCUUGAUUCUUUAGCUGCUGUGGUUCUAAAGAAUCAAAGGGGCCAUAAUCUUCUUAUGGCCAAAAAAGGUGGACUUUUUACCUACAGGAGGAAUGCUAUUUUUAUGUCAAUCAAUCUGGUAUAGUAAAAGACAAGACAAAACAACUCCAACAGGACCUUGAAUGUCAAAAACAACAGCUAUCUUCUGCUGAAGGAUGGCACCUAAGUAACUCCCUUCUCCAGUGGGCACUUCCUUUUCUGACCCUUCUUCUUGUCAUAGGCCUUCUGUUAAUGCUUGUCCCCUGUGUCAUUAGAUUUUUUCAAGACCAAACCCAAAAUAGUCUAUAAUCAAACUAUAAACUAGCUUUUAUUUUUUUACAGGAAUACCAAUCCCUCACCAAAGAGCAUUCCACCACCACUCAACCUCUGUCAUCAUUCCAAUGUCAUCCCAUGUUUCUAAGGGAUUCAAGUGCCACUCCUUCCUAGCAGGAAACAGUUACAGAAGAUCAACCUACAUCCCUGUUCCCUAAGGGGCCCAAUAAAAAACACAAAAAGGGGGUAAUAUAAGGUCCUUGCUUAGCAUCUGGAAAGCCAUCUUCAGUGACAACCACCAUUUGUUUUGCUUUUCCGCCCAAGGGCAUUUUUGCUUUUCUGCCCAAGGGCAUUUUUGAGAAAGGCUCACCACUUUCUCAUACCAACCCAACCCCUGGUCCACUUUAUACUUUGAAUAUAGCCCUUGUUGCUCUGCCAACUUCUAAUGCCGGCACAAGGGCCCACCCAACUCUUCUGAUUCCUGUGCCUGAAUUCCUGAUUCCUGUGACUUUUAUGGAAAAGUCCCUGAACCUAAGCCUGUUUUGCCUCUCUUUGCUAUAGAGAGAUGGUCUUUAUUUGUCAGCUCUGACAAAUAAACUCUGCUGUGUAUCUCUGCCUGAUCUCCAUCUUUCAUUUCUGGCUUACCUGUCUCUUGUUUCUUACUUUCCCUUCAGUAUGUUUUUAUGAAAAGUACAGGUUUAGGAGGAACAGAAACUUGGAUUUAACUCCAAAUUCUGACAUCUACAGGUUAUGUAACCCCAGAAAAAUUACUCAGGUCCACAUUUUUCACAUUUGUGAAAGUACCUCAGGUUUGUUAUCAUUGAGAGAGAAAAGAGUCUACCUUCAAGUUAUUGGACACGCAAACAUGCAUAUAAAUAUAGAUAUAUAGAUAUGGGUAUAAAUAUUUAUAAAGAAAGGGCCUAGUAGAGUGAAUGUCUAAUGCAUAAAAUUUUAAUAAAUGGUACUUAAUUAUAUGAUAUAGAAGAUGGUAUUUUCAUUGAAUUUUUUUUUUAAAUUUUUUUGAACAAAAUAAAUUAAAAAAAAUUAAAUCUAAUGAAAAUGUAGACAGUUGUUUUGCAUCAAAGAAUUGCUAUCCAACACAUUAUUUAUGUCCAAAAUACACAAUCAUUAUCAAACAUGGAAUUUUUAGGCUUUUGUAAUUGACAAUUUUACAGGUAUGCGCAUCUAACAGAAUUUUCUGAAAUUAUUCAGAAAUUACUUCAAACCCAGAUUUUUUUUUUUUACUAAGUAGGCUUAUAUCUAGAUACUGACAGUACACAAUCAUACUAUCAUCAAAGAACCAGAGGUAUAUUUUGGAAAAAAUCAGAGUAACAUUCAAUAAGAAGCCUGAUGAUACAUAUCAAUCACAUCUCAUUUAAAUUUGUGACAGUGGUCCACUUUAUACUUUGAAUAUAGCCCUUGUUUCUCUGCCACUGCAACUUAUUUUCUUGUUUCUUUCUCUUCCUCUUUUCCUGCUCCUCCUUAAUUUCUCCCCUUCCCUUAUCAGGGGAAACAGUAUUACCUUUUUCCCAUCCUAGGCAGAGUUAUCUGUCCUUGAGCACACACCCAGUACAGGAAUGAAGUAACUGGGAAUGGCACCAGAAGAUCUCAGGAAUGACUAUUUCCCAAAUUAACAAGUGAAUUACAACUCUGAACAGAGAACACAUGGAAUAUAGCCUUUGAAUUACUUCUUUAAAAUCCCCUGUUGCCCUGAUGGGAGAAACACAGCCUCUGAGACAGGAUUCCUCUGUUUCUCCUUUGUUAGAAAAGCAAUAAAACUUUUCUCCUUUUUCUCAAAAAAACAUGUUGUUAUUAUUGGAUUGGCACUGGGAACAAGAACCAAACUUUCAGUAAGAUUAUGUCAUGUCUUCAAUUUCUUCCUGAGAAGAUAGCCAGUCUCCUAAAGAGAAAAAUGUGAAUUUGAGGGAUAGGAAAAUGGUAAUGGGAAUGGAUGUAAGACAAUAAAGGGGUUAGUCAUACUUGAAGAGAUGGACAUCAUACAUAAACAUAUUUAAUAAUUAAAUGGGGAAGGGUAUAUUUCAAUAAAUGUAAAAAAUUCUGAUUAAUUUGUUUCCAAAUGUAAUAUUUCUCCACAAGACAAAAUACCUGCUUAGAAAUGCUCACUUAGAGGCAAUGGAUUAUAGAUAAUUUGUUUCACUCUUCAGUCUCUCUUACACUAUUGUAAUAGCUAUGGCUGGGCACAUUUUUCACAUAUUAUUUGAAAAUUUGCAUACUUUUUUUAGAACCACGGAGUCACUGAUAAAAUAGCAUAUGAAUAGUUUUCUAGAUUAUCUUCUAAAUACUAUUAAAAUGCUUUUGCUAAUAGUGAUGCUUUUUAUCAAUCUCUUCCAUUUUCUUGAUAAAUCUAUCAAACAUGCCAUCAGAAACUAGAAAUAUAAAUCUCCUUUAUUUUGAAUCAAAUUCUCAUUGCCUAUCCAUAAAUGCCCAUAUCAAGAAAAUUUGACCUCUUUUACUUACCUUGGGGAAUAUUUUACCUGUGUCUGUUGUCCAUUUCUUGGAUGCAUAUCAAGUCUGUGCCUUCCCAGUGUAAUUCAGAGAGAAUGCUGGUCAAAGGUGAGCAUCCCUGGCUGUCUGUCAGGAGUUUAUUUACCUAUGAGAAGAUUUGCUUUUUUGUCUUCUUUUUGCACUAGGAAUUGAAUCCACAGACCCUCUGUCACUGAACCACACCCCAGAAUUUUUUAUUUUAAUUUUUUUAAGACAGGGUUUUGCUAAAUUGCCCAGGCUGACUUCAAACUUGUGAUCCUCCAGCCUUGUCCUUCUGAGUUGUUGGGAUUAUAGGUGUGCACCACCAUACCAGGCUAGGUUUUCAGUUUUCUAUUCCAAGGGCUCUGACUUCCAUUCACUUCUAAAUUGUUAAUGUCUUUUAUACAGCAGAUUCUUGCUCUCAUUGAAUCUUAUCACAAUAUUUGAAUUUUUAAUUAAAAUCAUCAUUAGAAUUUAGCAUGCUUUGAGUUUUGCUGAAUAACAUGUUUGGGAUUAGAACCUAGGAUUCUUGAUUCCAAUGUUCAAAUUUCUGCUUUAAUUGUUUUCUUUCACUACUUCCAGUAUAUCCACAAAUGUGCCUUAUAUUCCUGCAGAGCUUUUCCAAGAGUACUUACAAAUCAGGGCCUAAUGCUCAGAUUCUACCCACAGGUAUAUUUUACUUGGCCUACGCAAUAUCUUACAUUUUGUGAAUUACUUUGAAUUGAGGAUUCUCUAUUGAAACGAGUAUAUACUUUCCCGUAGUCCCCAGAUCAUGGUUCUUCAUUGCUUACUGAUAGUAAGACUGCUUCUGUUUUUCUUAUAUUUUGCUUCACUUAUUUGAAAAACCAUACUAUUCUCCAUUAGCAGAGUUUAUGACCAGAUAGGUAGUAUCUCUGAUACCAUUACUAGACAUUUAACAUUUUAAGAAAAUGUGGCAUAUGUAUAUACAGUAGAAUAUUAUUCAGUUAUAAAGAAAGGUGAAAUCCUGUAAUUUGUAGCAAAAAGGAUGGAACUGGAGGACAUUAUGUUAAGUGAAAUAAGCUAGACACAGAAGGGCAAGUAUCAUAUUUAUUUGUCAUAUAUGAAAGUUAAAAAAGUCAGACCUAAUGUGGAAUAGUGACUGGUUGAGAAUGGCAAGGGGAGGGUGGAUGAGAGGAGGCUAGAUUUGAUUGGUACAUAACAGUUUAAAUAUAUUGAAAUAUCCUGUUGAACUUUAUUAAUAUGUACAUUUAAUACAUACUAAUAGAAAAUACAAAGCAAAAAGAAAUUUAGCUUUUUAAAUUGAAAUAUUCUUCUCCAUUUCAAAAGUAAUUUGCUCUUUGUCAUGCGUGAUGUUACAUGCCUAUAAUCACAGUGGCUCAGAUGGCUGAGACAGGAGGAUUAUAAAUUCAAAGUCAGCCUCAGCAACAAAGAGGCACUAAGCAACUCAGUGAGACCCUUUCUCUAAAUAAAAUACAAAAUAGGACUGGUGAUGUGGCUCAGUGAUUGAGUGCCCCUGAGUUCAAUCCCCAUUCCCCCCCUCCAAAAAAAAAAAACAAAACAAAAACAAUAUGCUAUUUAUAAAAAGUAAAAAUUAAAAAUAUCAAAAUUACUUGUAAUCUAAUCUAAUUUACUUAAGUUUCAUGCAUAUGAAAUAAUCAGAGAAGAUUGUGAAACAGUGUUUCUCUCAGGUGGGUAAUUUAGGUAAUAGAAUACUCAAUGAAGAAAAUUUAAUGGCUCACACCUUCAAACCAUUCAGAAGCAGGACAGCUUUCACAUGAAGCUCAAUCAAUUCAGUUUUCCCCUCUAUAACAAUAAAAAAUUAAAAAAAAAAAAAAAAAACAAUAAAAAAGAUAGUAACUGUAUUGUAACUGUAUUAGCAUACUGUGGAUGAUGCCACAAAUUAUCACAAACUUGCUGGCUUAAAACAACAGACUGCUUUACUAUCAUAGAUCUGGAGACCACAAGUCUAAAAUUAGAAUCACAGGGUUGAAAACAAGACUCCAAGGUCAUAGGAGAAGAUUCAUUGCUUGCCUCUUGCAGCUUCUGGCAUUCUUUGUCUUGUGGUCUCUGCCCUUGUAUUCACAUCACCAUCUUGUCUCUUUGUGUUAAAACUUCCUCAGCUUUCCUCUUUUGAGGAGAAUUUUCAUUGCCCUUAGAGCAUAUCUGGACAGUUCAGGAUAACCUCACCAUUUCAAGUGCCUUAACUUCAUCAUGUCAGCAGACUCUUUUUUCUUCAUAAAGUAAAAUUUGCAGGUUUUAAGAAUUAGGACUUGAUGUCUUUGGGUGGCCAUUAUUCGGUCUACUACAACUACUUAUUAUUAGAUUAAUGAAUUGGUAUGUAUAAAGAAUUUAGAAGCAUUGAUAAACAUGUUAUUGGAUACUGUUAUUACUGUUAUUAUCAUAUAUAUAUAUAUAUAUAUAUAUAUAUAUAUAUAUAUAUAUAUAUAUAUAUAUAUAUAUAUAUUUGCCAUAGAAAUCUACUCCCUGGCCAACUAUCCAUCAUAUAAAAAGAUCCUUGCUCCUUUGGACAACAAGCCCAUUAACAGCCCCAACUAGCAUAGGUAUAUUAAGAUCUAAAGACAUUCUCCUUAUCUAGUGUUGCAUUUGUAAAUGUGUACCAGCAUUUUCAUACUACAUAAGCCUUCUCCUUAGAGAUACUUAAUUCUCCAUAGAACUUGGUACCUUGUACUUCAUUGUUCUAUCUUGAUCCAUUUAAUACUUACAAAUAUUGGAUACUAUUAUAUGGUUAGGGCCUACCUUUGCUAUUAUUUCAAUUGAUUUUUUAAAAUUUAUUCAAUCAAUUUAAAAUCUAUUUUUAUAAUGUUUUAUUCAUUUAUGUAGGUCCUAAAUUUUGAUGGCUAUCAAAUUGGUAACAAUUUUCUCUAUUCUGUAGAACAUUUUGACAGUGGAGGUGGAUUAGUUGAUUGUAUAGCAUGUUAUUUAGUUAUUUAGUUUUCAGUGAUGAGUACAUCUUUUUGUUAUGUCUGUAAGUACUAGAGUUAAGUACUGGAAUUAGGUGUUUGUAGUGUAAUACUAAAUUUUAUCCACUUGGUGGCUACUAUGAUUAAACUUCUGGUCAAUUUUUACUUUGAGAAUAAGAUUUAGUUUAUAAUCAGCUUUAAUUACUGGAACUUAUGCUGAAAUUCUUUAUUAUUUGUUCCUUCUAAUAUAUUUUUUUGCAGAUUAUUAAAACUGACAUUAAGUAUUUUAUUCAUUUUUAGAGAUUGUCCUUAAAAUUCAGCUUUUUAAACAUUAGAAUAUUUUUUCCAUGUAGUUUGACAUUUGGAUUGAUACAAAUUGCUGAAAGUAGAUAAAUUAUAGUUUCAAUUUUAAAUUGGUUUUCAAUCUAUAAAUUCAUUUUUCUAAGCAAAUGAAGGUCCUCUACCUAAUAUUUUAACUUGGGAAGAGUAUGAAAAUAUUGUGAGAGCCCUAGAACUUGUAUUAUUGUAUCUUUUUUUAAAAUUUAAUUUAUUUUUUGUUAGCACAUUAUAGUUAUAUGUAAUAGUGAAAUUCACUGUGACAUACUCAUACAUACAUAUAGUUUACUCCUUUUUAGUACUCAGUACUUCAUUUUCCCUCCCCUUAGUCCCACCCCAUUCCCCUUCCUCUACUCUACUGAUCUUUUUUUUUCCUUUUUUUUCCCUCUUGAUACUGAGGAUUGAACUCAAGGAUGCUCUACCACUGAGCUACAUCCCCAAACUUUUGAUACUCCUGCCUCAGCCUCCCUAUUUACUAGGAUUAUAGGCAUGUACCACCGUACCUGGCUAUUCUAUUGGUAUUUCUUCCUUUUAUUUGUUUUUUAAGUUGGCAGCUUAUAGGUAUGUAUAAAGGUGAAAUUUACUGUGGUAUAUUCAUAUAUGUACAUAGUAUAGUUUGGUCAAUUUCAUUUCUCAUUUCCUCCCUUUUCCUAUCCUUCCUCCCUCCCCCUCGAUCCCCUUUGUCUAUUCCAUUGAUCUUCCUUCUAUUUUCAUAGGGUACCCCUUUUUCCUCCUUAUUUUGCUCUAGCUUCUGCGUAUGAGAAAAAAAAAAUUUUGACCCUUGACUUUCUGGGUUUAGCUUAUUUCACUUAGCAUGAUCUCCUGUUCCACUCAUUUACCAGUAAAUGCCAUAAUUUCAUUCUUCUUUGUGGCUGAGUAAAAUUCCAUUGUGUAUCUCUACUAUAUUUUCUUUAUCAGUUUGUCUGUUGAUGGACACCUGGGAUUCCAUAACUUGGCCACUGUGACUUGCAUUGCUAUAAACAUUGCUAUAAACAUUUGGAACAUUGUGUUCCAAAAUGAUUCUAUUAAUUUACAGUCCUUCUAACAAUAUAUGAGUACACCAUUUUUGCUUGUUUACUUUUAUUAAGUACAUGUUUACAGGGGAAUCAUAUUGUAUUAUUUGGAUACAAAGCUAACUAUUUUCUUAAUUUAACUCUUAAUGAAAUAAUUGGGGGGGCAUAGACAGAGGUACUCUAGAACCUUGAGUCCUUACUAAGUAAAACAAAACAACUUAAACUAGGUACUCAGCUUGUAUCCCAGGAAAGUAAAAUUUUAGCUUAAUCAAUCAGAAAACAUCAAGUAAUCUUGAACUUUAAGGCUACUGUUGCUCAUUAACCAGUUAACUGUUUUCUUUGUCUUGAUUCCAGGAACACCAUUGAAAAGCCACUCUUCACCCCCAGCCCCUCUGAUUGUUGGUGAUACCUGUUAUUCACUGUCCAAGAAAUUCUUUAAAACUUCAAUAUGCCAAAAAAAAAAGAUGUCUAAGUUUAUCUUUGAGCUCACCAAAAAGGGAUAUUAAAGACUAUGUCUUAAUUUUUCCCUAUCUUAUCAUUAUGUGAAUCACCAUCAGUAUAUGACACAUUUUUUCUGCUUUUAUGGCACAUUUCCUAUAGUCCUAUAUUGCUCUAAGUUUGAAAAAAUCUAAUUUUUUAUUGCUAAGCUUAAAACACUUUGUUUUUCUGGGAACACAAACUGAAUAUUAUAAAGAUAAGAUUUAUUGUUCUUAAUAACAACACUUAUUUUUAUCUCAAAUACAUACAUUAUUAAUAAUAUGAAUAAUUAAAACAAUAAAAAUAGAGGCCUUGCUUCCAGUGAACUCAAAAUAAGAGAGAUAAAUAAAGCUAUAUGUAAUUAAGAUUUAUUUACAAAAUAUGAGGUGGAAAAAUUCAGUGUGUUUACUCAAUAUUUUUCAUUAAACAUUUAAUAACUUAAAAACAUUGUAAGAAAUCUUGGAGGACUCAAACACUGCCUAAGAUAGAACUAACGGCUAUUAUUAAAAAUUUCACUAAUCCAAACUUAAAAUAUGUAGAAUUCAUUCAUAUUUUUGAAGUUUAUAAAUCUUCUUAGUGAGUUUCAUCAAAUGUUGGGUUGAAAUAUCUAAAGUAUAAACAUGUUAAGUGAACAAAGUUGGUAUAAAUAAUUUGAAUGACCAAUGCUAAAAUGAUUCCUUAUAAAUCUCUCUAGUGUCUUUUUAUAUGUGAAAUUAGAAUUCAUGGGUCAUGGUAAUAUUUUUAACUUUACUAGAAAAUAUCAAAUUUCUUUCUAAAGUGGAUUUCACAAUUUACACUCACCAGUUCUUGGUAUUGAAAGACACUUAAAUUUUUGUUGAUAUCAAUCUGAUAGAAUAUUUUAUUUGUCUUCCUCUGAGUGUUAUUUAAUGUGAGCAUGUUUUUCUUUAUUGGCCAUCUCUGCUUCCUCAUUUUAGAAUUGCCUGUGGACAUCACUUACUCAUUUUCCCUUAAGAUUACUUAUGUUGAUUUUUGUGAGUACUUUAAGUACUCGCUCAUUCCUGUUAUGUGAAUGAUUUGAAGUUUAUGUGCAUUGUAAAUAAAUUCUCUUGUCAAGUGGUCUUGUCUUUUUAUUUUAAUAAUUCUAGUGUUCUAUAUAAGUUUAAGUUUUAAUGAAAUUAACUGUAUCAACCAUUUCCCUUUUUUAUCUGUCCUUAUUUAGUAUCUUGUGUGAAAAAUACAUUCCUACCCCAUGAUCAUAAAAAUGUGAUCUUUAUAGGUAUUUUUUUCCAUACAGAUUUCAUUCAGAUCCAGUUUUUGAAUAAUGAAUCCUUCUGCCCU
rnacentral:lncRNA from 1 species